CCUACGGGGAGCAGCAGUGGGGAAUAUUGGACAAUGGGCGAAAGCCUGAUCCAGCCAUGCCGCGUGUGUGAAGAAGGCCUUCGGGUUGUAAAGCACUUUCAGUGGGGAAGAAAGCCUUGGGGCUAAUACCCUCGAGGAAGGACAUCACCCACAGAAGAAGCACCGGCUAACUCCGUGCCAGCAGCCGCGGUAAUACGGAGGGUGCGAGCGUUAAUCGGAAUUACUGGGCGUAAAGCGCGCGUAGGCGGUCUGAUAAGCCGGUUGUGAAAGCCCCGGGCUCAACCUGGGAACGGCAUCCGGAACUGUCAGGCUAGAGUGCAGGAGAGGAAGGUAGAAUUCCCGGUGUAGCAGUGAAAUGCGUAGAGAUCGGGAGGAAUACCAGUGGCGAAGGCGGCCUUCUGGACUGACACUGACGCUGAGGUGCGAAAGCGUGGGUAGCAAACAGGAUUAGAUACCCGGGUAGUC
rnacentral:rRNA from 1 species